CCUACGGGUGGCAGCAGUCGAGAAUCAUUCACAAUGGGGGAAACCCUGAUGGUGCGACGCCGCGUGGGGGAAUGAAGGUCUUCGGAUUGUAAACCCCUGUCAUGUGGGAACAAAUUAAAAAGAUAGUACCACAAGAGGAAGAGACGGCUAACUCUGUGCCAGCAGCCGCGGUAAUACAGAGGUCUCAAGCGUUGUUCGGAAUCACUGGGCGUGAAGCGUGCGUAGGCUGGUUCGUAAGGCGUGUGUGAAAGGCGCGGGCUCAACCCGCGGACGGCACAUGAUACUGCGAGACUAGAGUAAGGGAGGGGGAACCGGAAUUCUCGGUGUAGCAGUGAAAUGCGUAGAUAUCGAGAGGAACACUCGUGGCGAAGGCGGGUUCCUGGACAUUAACUGACGCUGAGGCACGAAGGCGAGGGGAGCGAAAGGGAUUAGAUACCCCGGUAGUC
rnacentral:rRNA from 1 species